rnacentral:rRNA from 1 species
AGAACGAACGCUGGCGGCGUGCUUAACACAUGCAAGUCGAACGCGAAAGGGACUUCGGUCCUGAGUAAAGUGGCGCACGGGUGAGUAACGCGUAGAUAACCUGUCUUCAUGUCUGGAAUAAUACGCCGAAAGGGGUACUAAUACCGGAUAUUCUUGCUUUUCAUAAGUUAUGCAAGCAAAGGUGGCCUCUGCAUAUGCUACUGCAUGAAGAGGGGUCUGCGUACCAUUAGCUAGUAGGUGGGGUAAUGGCCUACCUAGGCGACGAUGGUUAGCGGGUCUGAGAGGAUGAUCCGCCACACUGGCACUGGAACACGGGCCAGACUCCUACGGGAGGCAGCAGUGAGGAAUAUUGCGCAAUGGGGGAAACCCUGACGCAGCGACGCCGCGUGAGUGAGGAAGGCCUUCGGGUCGUAAAGCUCUGUCAAGAGGAAAGAAGUGUACAAUGGCUAAUACCUGUUGUAUUUGACGGUACCUCUAAAGGAAGCACCGGCUAACUCCGUGCCAGCCGCUGC